AACGCGAAGAACCUUACCUGGGCUUGACAUGUACAAAGUAAAAACCCGAAAGGGCAAUGACCUGUAAAAUCAGGAAUGUGCACAGGUGCUGCAUGGCUGUCGUCAGCUCGUGCCGUGAGGUGUUGGGUUAAGUCCCGCAACGAGCGCAACCCUCGUGCUAUGUUGAUUUCUCAUAGCAGACUGCCCUCUAAAAAGGGGAGGAAGGUGAGGAUGACGUCAAGUCAUCAUGGCCCUUACGCCCAGGGCUACACACACGCUACAAUGGGGUGGACAACGGGUUGCUAAGCCGCGAGGCGGAGCCAAUCCCACCAAAACACCCCUCAGUUGGGAUUGCAGGCUGCAACUCGCCUGCAUGAACGUGGAGUUGCUAGUAACCGCAGGUCAGCACUACUGCGGUGAAUACGUUCCCGGGCCUUGUACACACCGGUACUA
rnacentral:rRNA from 1 species